GACAGAGGGGGCAAGCGUUGCUCGGAAUUACUGGGCGUAAAGGGCGCGUAGGCGGGAUGGCAAGUCGGUCGUGAAAUCCCUCGGCUCAACCGAGGAACGUCGAUCGAUACUGCUGUUCUUGAGGAUUGCAGAGGAGACUGGAAUUCCCGGUGUAGCGGUGAAAUGCGUAGAUAUCGAGAGGAACACCUGCGGCGAAGGCGGGUUGCUGGGCUGACACUGACGCUGAUGCGCGAAAGCUAGGGGAGCGAACGGG
rnacentral:rRNA from 1 species